UCCGAGUUGUAAUUUGCAGAGGGCGCUUUGGUGUUGGCAGCGCUCCAAGUUCCUUGGAACAGGACGUCACAGAGGGUGAGAAUCCCGUACGUGGUCGCUAGCCUCCGCCGUGUAAAGCCCCUUCGACGAGUCGAGUUGUUUGGGAAUGCAGCUCUAAAUGGGAGGUAAAUUUCUUCUAAAGCUAAAUACUGGCCAGAGACCGAUAGCGCACAAGUAGAGUGAUCGAAAGAUGAAAAGCACUUUGGAAAGAGAGUCAAAUAGCACGUGAAAUUGUUGAAAGGGAAGCGCUUGCAGCCAGACUUGCCUGUAGUUGCUCAUCUGGGCUUUUGCCCGGUGCAUUCUUCUGCAGGCAGGCCAGCAUCAGUUUGGGCGGUUGGAUAAAGGUCUCUGUCAUGUACCUCUCUUCGGGGAGGCCUUAUAGGGGAGACGUCAUGCAACCAGCCUGGACUGAGGUCCGCGCAUUUGCUAGGAUGCUGGCGUAAUGGCUGUAAGCGGCCCGUCUUGAAACACGGACCAAGGAGUCUAACAUCUAUGCGAGUGUUUGGGUGUCAAGCCCGAGCGCGUAAUGAAAGUGAACGGAGGUGGGAACCCUUUGGGUGCACCAUCGACCGAUCCUGAUGUCUUCGGAAGGAUUUGAGUAAGAGCAUGGCUGUUGGGACCCGAAAGAUGGUGAACUAUGCUUGAAUAGGGU
rnacentral:rRNA from 1 species